rnacentral:lncRNA from 1 species
CCUCGCUUCAGCAAGCCAUCGGGAGUGAAUGUGUGAUGCCAGUCGCAGUCCUGGAGUUUGGUGAAACUGCCUGAACCAUCUACGGUCCAGGAGUACAAUGGUGCUCCUGGUACAAUGCAGCUUCUGGAGCUGCACAGUUAACGGUAACUGCUCCUCAGUCCCCAGAGCUUCCCAGCCAGAGAGUUUAGGAGAACUUACGAGUAAUUAACCUUGGUGAUUUCUACCUCAGUGACUAUUAGAGGGCAGCUGGCAAGCUCUUUAUUAACACCAGUCAACUUCAACACAACUGAGGAAGAUGCAGCCUUGUAGACACCACCCACCCCCGGUGAUGGCUCUUUCCAACAGCCAUGCAAAUAGUCUGAAGAAGCUAUGAAGCUGAGAACCCAAAAUUGGGGCCAGGAAGAGCACACAGUCACGUCAGCUUUCAUCUCAUCGAGUCCCAACCUCAUGUCCACCUUGGUGGUGACGAGGACGGCACGGCACCAUCAUGUCUUGUGGAACAGAUUCACAUGAGUUGGGAGGCUGAGCUCACACAGAGCUGGAGUCACAGUCUUGUGAUAUGACAGUACUCUCUCUUGAAUAAAGAGAAUGAAUAAUCAGCCUCUUUGACUGAAGGCGGAGGCCGGCCCUGACUCAUGGAACAUUAGAGAGGUGAGCUCUGGAUUCAACAAUGUGGCUGUGGGUGGCUCAAACAGCCACCAUUCAGUAAGCGUCUGCCACCGGCCAGGCAGUGUGCCAAUCCCCUACACUCUACUCCUCCUGCUGAGCCUAUAAAGACUUUGCUAUUGUCACCCCUAUUUUAGACAAGGGACUUGAGUCUCAGGUGCCUCCAGACGGCAGGCAUUACUCUGGGGAGGGGAAGACUGAGAGUUAAGCAAAGUUGUCCACGUGUCCAGAGAACCCAGGGUCCCUGUUGUUGAGGGUGAAGCCUGACUCUUUCUGAGCCAGAAAUGUGUUUCCAGUGUGGCAGGACACAAAGGGCAUGUGAAGACAGGACACUGUAGGCCAGUCUCACAGGAACAAAUAGGUGGGUAUGGGAGGAGGUGCCACCCCACUUCCAAUUCUUCGACCUCUUUUGUCAGAUUUUUUUCAACUCCCAUACAGUUAAUUCAGAGAAGACAUUAGCCAUUUGGUUCUAUCUGAGCCCAAUGCUAAGUUUCCGUAGCUGGGCGACAAUUCUCUUUUAAUCUUUCAUCUCACAGAGAAAAUUACAUUAAUACAAAAGCUAUAUGGGCUUUCAUCAAAGAGCCAGGAUGCCUUUGUAAAUGUUAGCUGGUGGCGUGUGUCAUCCAUCUCAUUUACGACGAGGAAGCUGAGUCAGAGAGAGGAAAUAUGACUGGGGUUUGGUUAAAAGUAAACCACAGCCACGCAAUAGGCCACAUCUGCUCUUCCAAGUCAAAAGAAAAGAGGGAAGAAACGGUCCAAAAAUACAUGCUGGUAUUACAGCUAAAGCCACGUUCCAGCUACUGUGCGAAGGAGGCCACGUGCACCAGCCCUCUGACCCCACCCUGCCUCCUUCCACCUCUCCCCUCCUCACUCUGGCACUAAACCAGCUGCUGGGUCUUAGAAAAAAAGCAUUCUCUCCCCUGGAGCACUGGUUUUCUUCACCCCCACCAAAAAAUAAUAAAAAAAGAUUAUUG